CGACGUGGAGAACCUGCCGUAUACUGGGGGAUAACACUUAGAAAUAGGUGCUAAUACCGCAUAAGCGCACAGCUUCGCAUGAAGCAGUGUGGAAAACAAAAAGCUAAAGCUUUUGGUGGUAUACGAUGGAUCCGCGUCUGAUUAGCUAGUUGGCGGGGUAAAGGCCCACCAAGGCGACGAUCAGUAGCCGGCCUGAGAGGGUGAACGGCCACAUUGGGACUGAGACACAGCCCAAACUCCUACGGGAGGCAGCAG
rnacentral:rRNA from 1 species